CCGAGGCGGGGCCGGGGCCGAGGCGGAGGUCGCCUGUGCACUUGACCAGCGAGUCAGCUGGAAUUACGUGACUGGGAUCGGCGCUGCUUUUACAGUAAUUGGGGACACAUAGACGCGGUGAAGGUCACGGUCUCUUCUCCGGCCGUUCACCCAGGGCCGGCGAGAGGAGGUGGCUGCCUGCGCUGUGGAAACUUGUCAGUCCCGAUCGCGGGACAGCGGAGCGCAGGCGGGAUACCUGGAUCCUUUCUAGAGACCCAUUUUGGACUUCAGAAGCUGUGUGGGUACCUACAUCCCGUCUGUAGACUUGUGAGUUAAAGACACAACUUUCUACCUUUGAUGCCCACCUUGGGGAAGGAACCAGCUCCUCCUGGGGAGGAUGGUGCCUGGGGUAAGAGGCUCAGAGAUCAUCCUAACAUCACUGCAACUAUGAUUUCACCAGGAUAAUGUACUGCAAGGUUAUUGUCAUAUGAAAUCUCUACUGCUGGAAAGAGGCACAGGAAGUCACUCACAAGACUUUGAUCUAGGAUGACAUUUCAUUCCUACAAACCUGUGACAAGUGGUGGCAGUGUCCCCCCAGUGGAGCUCACAGCAUGCUCAGGGGCUACCUCCUUGGAGUGUCCUGCGUUUCCUCCUCAGUGGCCUGAGUGCAGGGCAUACCUAUGAGCCAGCAGCAAAGCACACACCAAGAGAGAAGAAAUGCAUGAAGAAUGGGAGGCUGAUAGGAAGGGAAUGGGAAGAGAGUGCAGACCUUCCCUGAAGGACCUCACAGCUGGCACUGGGGAACUGCUGUCUGCAGUUCAUGCCCUCCCUCACAGGGAGUUCUGCUGGCCUGGCUACAGGCUCAAAACUGACUGGCAGGGUGCAGAGGAAAGAGCCAAGAGGAGCUCGCUCCAUCUGAAAGAAAUGAAAGACCAAAGAUGGAAGAAAGAGAAAAGCAGCUGUUAAAGAGCAAAAUUGGAUGUAUCAUAGCAGCCUGAAAACUUCCCGUUCAGUUUCUUCAGUGACGUGGGCUCUCCUCUCUGCCCUGGAGGAGGGUUUCCCGCAGUGGGGGAUGCACUGUUCCCGGACUCCGUGCUGCCCCUCUGAGAGCAUUGUGCCUGCAGGAGCCUCCUCCUGUCAGGGCUUUGAGCUGCUCCUGCUGCAGUCCUUCACCAUUAGAGAUACACGUCCUGAAUCGCUUUGACCACAGAGAAGUGAUUUUAUAGCCACAGCUCUUGAAGAAAGAUCCUCUGAUUUUCUGGGAGGUGCUGCCCAUUCCCUCCAUCUGACAUGAAAACAGGGCUGUUGCAUCACCAUUGCUGUCUCUGCAGAGACCCUCCUGGCCUGGGCUCUGCUUCCAUCUGCCCACAGGAGAUGAGGACCAGCCUCCAGACCUGCAUGGCACAGACACCGUGCUUGUUGCUGUCCUUGCAGCCAGCCUGGCCUUCACCCAGCUACUCCUGGUUUAUGGAUCUGUAUCUGUGAAUAAGUGACAGGGUGAUCAGCAUUGUCCUGAGUGUCAGAUUCUCCCUAAGUGACAGCUCUAACUGGACAUGGGGCUGAGCUGGGGAAAGAGGGACUUUUCCUUCCUGUCCUCCCUAGUACUCUUUCCCCUUUGCUGUGAUCCAUGAGGGUGUUCUGUGUUCCUGGAUGUAGCCAUUCAUCUUACUCAAAUGCAACGUGCUUUCUGUUUCCCUAAGUACUGGGCGUAUUGACUGUGUCUUGGCCAAGAUCAGCACACAGGAUUCAUGUUUGCUGGUGUAGGUGUGAUCCAGCAAUGUGUCUUUUAUGGCACCUGUGUUGCUGCACUACUCUGAAUGCUGAAGCUAUCUGAAACUAGGCCGUUUUGGAAACAUUUAAAGCUUCUUACAUACACAACAGAAAUGCAGAAAAAUCUGCAAAAUACCUUUUAAGCUAGUCCUUUGAUUCAAACUGAAAACUUGAAAUGAAAAGUAGAAGAGAUGUUUCAGGGCAAUCUAUGUCUGUUACAGAUCCCAGAUGUCAUCAAUAAGGAAACAACAAUGAUGGUCAAAUUCUACAUUCCCUGAGCAAGGCUGUUCUUUGUGCUGCUCAAGGAAUAGCUGUUACACCAUUACAGCAGAUAAUGUCUCUGUUAAGCUUUCCACCUUUUUUAUCUUCCAGUUUGCCCAAAAUUAAAUUUCAUAUUGUUUAGGUGUGGCUUUCACAAAGACGUUGGAAGAUGACAGUUUUGCAGCAGGUCAGGUCCAGAGAAUGGAAUGGAGCUGGUGAAGUGGCUGGAGCAUAAGUCUGAGGAGAAGCUGGGGGAGCUCAGCCUAGAGAAAAGGAGGCUCAGGGGGGACCUUCUGGCUCUGCACUACACCCUGACAGGAGGCCAGAGCCAAGUAGUAGGUGGGUUCUUCUCCCAGGUAACAAGUGGCAGGAGAAGUGAAAAUGGCCUGAAGUUGUGACCAGGGAAGGUUUAGAUGGGAACAGGAAAUUGGGAAAAAUUUCUUUCUGAAGAGGAUCAUUCACCUCCUGACAGUGGUAAGUCAACAUUCCUGGAGGGAUUCAAAGGAUGUAUUGAUAUGGCACUGGGGACAAGGGUUACUGAUGGUGUUGGCAGUGCCAGGGGAAUGGUUGGACCUGAUGGUCUUAGAGGGCUUUUCCAACCUCAAUGAUUCUGUGACUCUGUGACCUCAAGUAGGAUGUCACAGUAACUAGCAGUAGUGUAUUGUUCUUUGGCAUUCACUAUUUAGCCCAGUAAAGAAGUGACAAAUUCAUUAUGGAUUUAAGUCUUUUCACAGAGAACUGUCCUGGGGUCAGUUCCCCAGUACGUCUGGAGGAUCUACAUCCACAACAGCUGUGGGUGAUCAGAUGCUCCUGGGAUAACAAUGUUCUGGAACCAGAUAAACGCAGCAAAUGUGUUUGAACAGAUGUUGUCGUGGCUUAACCCCAGCCAACAACUCAGUCCUACUCAACUGUUUGCUCACCCUCCCCGUUCAGAGGGACGGGAAGGAGAAUAAAAAAAAAGUGUAUUUUUCUGUAGAUUGAAAUAAGAACAGUUUAAUAAUUAAAAUAAAGUAAAAUAUUGCUGCUUCUACCCUGGAGCUCUGUAGAGCAGAUUUUGGCCUCUGCAGGGAUCUACUGUCAGUGUCCUUUUCAUGGAACAUCUUCCAUACUUUCCCAGAGAUGAAGUUUCUCUAUCCAGUGCUUGUUUUGGUUCCUGCACUCCAGGGUUCAUAUGCAGUGCUUGGUUCCCAUCUCUCCUGUAGGCUUUAGGUUUGAUCCUGCAGACAUAUUUGACUACUUCCUGGCCGCUGUUUCACGGAGAAUGUAAAUUUAACAAUGUUAUCAUUGUUUGACACUGUCCAACGCCAGGCACCCACAAAAGCCACUUGCUCACCCUCCCCUGCCACAGCUGGACAGGACAAAAUUAACGAAGGGUUCAUGAGUUGAGAUGGGGACAGGGAGAAAACUCUUCAAGGGCAAAACAGGCUCAACUUAGAGGUACAAAGUAGAGGUGUAUAGAUGCAAGUGGAAGAACCUUGUGUAGAUGCUCCCUGGUUAUCACUGGACCACAUCACUCUCCUCUUUCAUUAGCCUUAUUUUAGCUACCCACUCCUGUUGUACUUCUCCCUCAGGGCAUCAGACACUUCAUUUCUCUCUUGCAGGGCUCAGCUGACAGGCAUUUUUGCUCUUCACCAGACAGCGUGUGUUCUUGUCAGCUGCCAGCCAGCUGAUCAUGAUUAGAUUGUAGUUGUGAUAGUGAUUUCCUGUCUUUCAAGCCUGAACAGAUGGUGUGCUGCUCGCAGUCCAAGGUUUGACUUUCAUAGUGUUUCUUGGCUUGGCCAAAUGGCAGUUGAGGGAUCUGCUUACAUGAAGCCCCUCAAGGAGACUCUUGUAAGGGAGAGGAGCAACUGUGUCCUCUAAGGACCCUGCAAAGCUAUACCCACUUCAGAGGAGUGCUGGAAUGCUUUUGUUUGUUGGAUGCAGUCCUCCAAACUACACUUCUGUUCCCCAGCUUAGAACUCUGUUGCUGAUAUACUCUCAGUAUCAUAUUUAGGCUUUAUAUUUUAGAGAGCAAUUAGUGUUUUAUCCAGUAGGAGGUGCUACUUUUGAAUUUUAUGCUACAGGAUCAAUAAGGAGCAAAGGCAUGGGGCCCCAUAUGACAGGCCUGAUAAUGGAUUUGCUCCCAGCAUUUCCAGAUGUCCUUCUUCUUGGGACAGUUUUCCAUUCUAACAUAACAAAUUUUCCUAUCUAGCUGUUGUACAAGGUAACUUGAUGUGACUUCUUCUGUAGAUGCUGUGUUGGGGCUUGCAUCAUUGACAGGAGCCCGCCAUGCCUGAGGAGGCAAGGAAGUGGGAGAGUCUGGUGGUGAUGGAGCUGUCAGGAAGGGGCUCCCCUGCACAGUUCAGCAGACUUGGCAGUAUUCUGACUGCUGCAUGAAGAUCUGUGAAAUGAAUGAUCAUCAAAUGUGGCCACUGCCUGCCUAAAAAUAACAUUUCUCCAUCAUCUCAUCCUCUAACAAAGCAGCUCCUUCUCAUAAAAUAAUAAUCUUUCAUCUCUUCAUUUAUUGCAUUACAUGGGAACAACUGGCAGCUUGCUCACAUGUGCCAAUUUAUUAACUAAAUCUCAUUUACUAACUGGGAACAAACUCUUUUUUCUUGUAGCUGCUGAAUACAAAUGAGGUUGGGCUUCAGAGCUGCCCAGGUGCCAGGAAGCUUCUUUGGCCCAUUUGUCCCUGUGCCAAUGACAGUUUCACUUUGCCAGUAAAAAACUUCUCUUCAUCGGGCCCUGCUAUACAUGAGAGGGUUGCUGUGCCUCAGGCUAAGGAAUGCUUACACAGGAGGAAGACCAGGCUGAGACCUGUCUGUGGUGCUGAGCUGCAAGAGAUCUGUUCUAGUGCAGAGAAACACAUUCCCAGUACUGGCAAUCAUUUCUUUCAAACUGUGUGCCCUGCCCAAGGGACGGGCUUGGAGCAGGCCACUUCCAAAGGGCAGCCAUCAGCUGUGGCCUGUGCCCCAUCGUGACACAGCCUGUGCACUCAUCUCUGCCAGGAGAGAGUCUCUGUGCAGAAUAUGGUGGUGCCUUUCAACCAAGGCUUUGGCAGGAGGCAAACAGGGUGAGUUUUGAAAUCUCUGGGAAGGGCUAGUCUGUGAUGAGUGUUUGCUUCUUCUUCACACCUGCCUUCAGGUUUAAUGGUUUUUCCCAAGCAGGAAAAAUAACAAAAAGGAUAAAUCUUUUAAAACUGUUUAUCUGAGAGUCCAGAUUGUCAAGCUUUAUGCUGCUAGAUAAAUCAAACUAUCUCAGAGUUAAUUUGUCUGACCAUAAAGUGGAUUCCAUAAGUGUAAAAUAAAACUAAUUGGUUUGCUUCCAUACAAAUUUAAUCAUACUAUAAAAAGUGAUCAAUGCAAAUAAAAAGCAUUGUGUAGGUUAAUUAUCAGGAAUCUAUAAAGGAAAAAAAGUGCUUUCUUUCAGGAAUUUAAAACUGUGUGGGUUUCCAUCUCUGUGCUGAUCAUCCCAUGAUGUAGAGCCAGUCCAAAUGUGCUGGUGUCUCUGUCACAUGCUGUGUGUGUCACAAGUAACUCAUCUCUCAGACUUCAUAGUUUCUGCAAUUACAUGGCUUGAAGCUGUUGGUGGGGUUAUACAUGACUCUUGGGGAUGUGCUCUCUCUGUGCUUCAGCACCAACCAGGUGAAACACGUGGAGCACAAUUCCUGUCAGUGACUCUCAUCUGUGCAGGGUCUGCCGUGGCAAAAGGGCACCUGGCACCUCCCAGAGACCCAAACACUGAUCCUGUGCUGCAGCUGAUGCCAGGCUUAGGCUGCAUGCAGAGCACCAGGACUUCUGCUGCUUGGGCUCUGCUGCAUACCUGCCCCCCUUCCCUUCCCACCAGGGAGUCCCAUGGCUGGGACCCUGUGUGUCCUUGCUGAUGAGAGCCCCCUUCUCAGGGCAGCAAUCUGCUGAAGCGAGAGGAGGCUGCCAGGAACAAGCUACUGCUCUGCCACAGCAUCCUGACAGCAGUUCAAAGCAAACAGGACUCACUCAGCAAACUGAAACCUUUUAAAUGAAUCCAUUGCAGGGCCUGCUGUGAGAGGCUGACACGGACUGUGGUUGUGGUGAUGACUGGAGUGUGGAUGGGGUUGCUGUAGUUGCUGCUUAUGCAAACCCUGUUGCCUCUCUCCCAUCUGUGGAGUAGAGGGAGCUCUUUGUUCUGCUGCUUGUGGGGCUGGUGCUGCCAGGAGCUGGCAGGGUGUGUGGGCAGAGAGGCAGCAUUGCCAGCAGGGGUGGUGGGAAGCAGGAGAGGAGUGGGUAGCCCCACACAGGCUCCCUGGGCAGCACCUCUGCUCUGUCCAGCUGCAGCCACGUCCUGGAGGUUCUGCACCACUUGCCCAGGCUGUCUGUGCCUCCAGAGCAGGGGGCAGAGGUUCUCAGCAUGCUGGCAGAGCCUGCACUCACGUGCAGCCUUGUCCUGCAGGCUGGCACAGGGUCGGGCAGUUGCUGCAGCCUGAAAGGAAAGUGUAAAAGAGUACAGGGAGGCAAAUGGCUCCUUGUGAGUGGAACAGAUUCCCAACAAGGGAGCUGCUCUACCAGGAGCAAAGCCUGUUCACUUUUGGAGCUGCUCCUCCACCACUUUCCCAGGCUGAUGUGGGUUUUGUGACUGUAGCUCUCAGUCUUUCUUUGAGCUCCAUGGUCAAUGACUGCUUAUGGGGUUUUGCUUUGCUUUAUAAGCUCAGUGGUAUUUAGGAAAGCAUCCAGAUCCCCUCCAUGAGCUCUGACAGAUUACAAGGGCUGCACUUAACUGAGUUCACAGUGUUCCACUGUGUCAGCUACACAGCAGCAGUGCUGAAGAGAUGUACCUUGGCAUAGCAGAGGAUAAAAACUAUGGCAGAGAUGGAAGAUAAGUGGCAAUAAAAAGUAAAACGUGGAGUGUCUGCCCUUUAAAAUAUAUUAGGCAGUUUAUAAAUAAGCUUUGUGUUUUUAGGAUGAAUGCAGAAUUGUUCAGUCCCUGAAGAAUCUGACCUUGAAGAGAAGAAAUGCUGUGAGCAGCUUUCAGAAUGUUCUCAGAAAAAUCAGACAGGAAAAUUGCUCUUGCUUAUUAUUUCAGCAGUAGGUGGUAUGUUUGGCUGAUGUGGUUUGGGAAGAAACUUGAGCUCUAGCCUCCUCUUCCUCUCAGGUAACCUCAAUGUGCAGUCAGAUGCAGAGAACUUGAGGGUAAAGUUACCAAGUGUCUGGUGAGAUUUCCAGGGAUGCGUCACUCCUGGCAGUUGGGACAAUCUUGGCUGGGUGAGUUGUGUGCUGGUUCUGACAGCCAAGCUCUGAGAGUGUGAAGCUGAACCAGACAGAAGUGCACACAGCCUGGUUCUCACCACCUCGCUUGGCUGCAAAGCUCCUGCCUGGUGAGCUGAGCUGCGCGGGGCUGCCAUGCCAGCAAAGCUCCUGCCUGCACCCUCCUCCUGGCAGAGCAGGAUGUGGGUGCCUGAGCUGUGCUGUACCUCUUCUCCAAGGGUGGUCGGACAUGUAUCUCCCAGGUCUCACAGCGGUGCAGCAUCUUCUUUGGGGUGGGGAGGACUUUCUGCUGAUAUGAGAGCUGUUCCCUUUUGUGUUAGAUACUUAGCUGUUUGCUGGGGUGAAGUAGCGAGCUUGUGAGUGGGAGACUCUGUGGGGAGAGGUGGGUUUUGGGUUUUGUUCUGGUAAAUGCUGAGGAGUCAAAUGCUUUCUUUGGACAGAUAGAGGUUCUGGCCCAAACUGGACAAGGCUGCUGCUGAUCUGGGUUUCUUCUGCUUUCAGGCAGCCUGAGGUGAGAUCCAGGUCUUGUCUUCUGCUUGAAUGAAUGCCAUCUUAGCAGCCUCUGUUUGGGCAAUAUGGAAAAUGGUGGCCCUGCAGAUUCUUUUAGAGGUACUUUACUGACUGAGUGGAGCAGUGAGGUGAACCAUAACCUCCCUUUUUAAAAUGUGUUCUUAGAGAAAACAGAGAUGAUUCCCUGUGUGGAGGAAUAACCAGCAAAUUGAUCCCUGCACGUCCUGACGCAGAGAGCCAGAAGCCCCUUGCGCUCUGGGCUCUGGCCGAGAAAAUGUAAACAAACUCCAGUUUUAUGUCUGGCCAAGGAGACGUAAACCAAGCAUAUAUUGUAGCCUUCUAAAUAUUUUGACAUUUUACAAUCCAUCAAGGCCUUUAAUUGUAUUUUGAGUGAGUUGUUCUAUAUGUAAAUACCAGUUAAUGUUGAAAUUGUUUAUAGCCAAAUUGUCUGUUUAUGCAAAUUGUGUUCCAAGAUCACAGAGCUUCUAGUGUACAAUAAACAUGUCUGUUUUAUUUAA